rnacentral:rRNA from 1 species
AUUGAACGCUGGCGGCAGGACUAACACAUGCAAGUCGAACGGAGUGGCGGAAGGGUGAGUAAUGUCUGGGAAACUGCCUGAUGGCGGGGGAUAACUACUGGACACGGUAGCUAAUACCGCCUCCUAUCAGAUACGCCUAGGUCGGAUUAGCUAGUUGGUGGGUGAAAGGCCUACCAAGUCGACGAUCCGUAACUGGUCUGAGAGGAUGAUCAGUAACACUUGAACUGAGACACGGUCCAGACUCCUACGGGAGGCAGCAGUGGGGAAUAUUGGACAAUGGGCGAAAGCCUGAUCCAGCCAUGCCGCGUGUGUGAAGAAGGUCGUCGGAUUGUAAAGCACUUUAAGUUGGGAGGCGUGACCAACAGAAUAAGCACCGGCUAACUUCGUGCCAGCCGCCGCGGUAAUUC